rnacentral:rRNA from 1 species
GACGAACGCUGGCGGCGUGCUUAACACAUGCAAGUCGAACGGAAAGGCCCUGCUUUUGUGGGGUUCUCGGGUGGCGAAAGGGUGAGUAACACGUGAGUAACCUGCCCUUGACUUUGGGAUAACUUCAGGAAACUGGGGCUAAUACCGGAUAGGAGCUCCCGCUGCAUGGUGGGGGGUGGAAAGUUUCGGCGGUUGGGGAUGGACUCGCGGCUUAUCAGCUUGUUGGUGGGGUAGUGGCUUACCAAGGCUUUGACGGGUAGCCGGCCUGAGAGGGUGACCGGCCACAUUGGGACUGAGAUACGGCCCAGACUCCUACGGGAGGCAGCAGUGGGGAAUAUUGCACAAUGGGCGGAAGCCUGAUGCAGCAACGCCGCGUGCGGGAUGACGGCCUUCGGGUUGUAAACCGCUUUCGCCUGUGACGAAGCGUGAGUGACGGUAAUGGGUAAAGAAGCACCGGCUAACUACGUG